UACGAGGGGGGCGAGCGUUGUUCGGAAUUAUUGGGCGUAAAGCGCGCGCAGGCGGUCCUUUAAGUCUGAUGUGAAAGCCCCGGGCUCAACCUGGGAGGUGCGCUUGAUACUCGAGGGCUUGAGUGCGGGAGAGGAGAGUGGAAUUCCUAGUGUAGAGGUGAAAUUCGUAGAUAUUGGGAAGAACACCGGUGGCGAAGGCGGCUCUCUGGACCGUAACUGACGCUGAGGCGCGAAAGCGUGGGGAGCAAACAGG
rnacentral:rRNA from 1 species